rnacentral:lncRNA from 1 species
AGGCUGACAUGUAACAUAACAACCCUUACAAAUAGAAAGUGUUAUCUAUUAAUUGAUGACAUAAGGUACCACCUAAAAGGAGAAAAUGUUGUCUAAUUGUCACAUUUAACAACGAUUUUAAAAAAAGAAGCUAUCUAAAGGUGACAUUAAACACCGCUUUCAACAAAAGGUACUAUCUAAAGAUGACAUGGAAAAAUACUUACUUGGUUAUGAAGUGAAGUCGAAUUUAUAACACCACUAAAAUAUACAGCGUUUAUAAUUUGCGGUUUUAGGGGAAAAAAGUGUUGUUUAAAGCCUAUUUAGGAAUAAAUCAUCAAAUUGAUCGAUGUCUUUGUAAGUAAUUCUCAAAUUAGCUCUGACUUAUUAAUAUUUCAAGAUAGUCCAUGUCUUUGACAAAAAUUUCUAAAUUAACUCCAUUGUCAUGUGAAGAAAACACAGAAACAUGGGUCUAAUUGAGAAACUUUUGACAAAGACAGAGACUAUUGUUAGAAGUUUCUCAAUUAUACCCAUGUUUCUAUGUUUUUUCACAUGACGAGGGACUUAAUUGAAUUAUUUUAACAAAGACGAGGACUAUUUUGAGACAUUAAUAGAGUCGAUGACUAAUUUGAUAAUCACUUGCAAAGAUAAGGACCAAAUUGGUAGUUUACUCGCCUUUUAGGCAUGGUCUUUUAAGACUUAUUUUUCACCUUGUGGUUUAUCAUAUAUUUUUCACCUUUUAGGCAUCACGUUGCUUGACUCGUGAGAUUGAGUCGUUCGCAAUUGACUCAAUUUUAGUGAAACGGCCGAAGAAGAAAAGCAACACAAAAAACACAAGCAACCCAUAUUUGAUUGUGUUAUGACCUUUCAAAUCGCUCGCAGCUACGAUCUUUGAGAUGAUUUUUAUUUUAAGAAUCAUUGAAAAAGAAGCGGUUUUGUAAAAAAUAAAAAAUAAAAAAAUAAAGAAGUAUUCAAAAGUAGAUCUAACAUAUGUUGGAACAAUAGUCAAAAUUAGUUAAAAAAUAUUUCUUGUCACCGAAGAGAUUACUAGGCUGAGUCGUGGACUAGGUCGCUCUCUUUAAGAGGUUUCGUGGCACUUUCCAAAAUUGUUCAAGCAAACUAUCAACCACGACGUCCCAGGAUAAAACAGCCCAGCAACAACUAUAUCAGAGUCUUAUUGCACUAUAGGAUCUGUUCUGGAAAUACACUUCAAAAUAUGGUGCUAAGACCAUUCUAAUAUUGCAUUGAUAGCACUCUAUUAUGGUACUAAGACCACUCUUAUAUGGUACUAGGACCAUUCUAAUAUGGUGUUUCCAUCACUCUAACCUCUAAUUUCUCCAAGGGCAUAAAACAUAAAAAGAUGAACUAUAUUCUUAAGAUCAUUCUUAUUUUUCUGAGGGACACUUUAUCUCGAAAAGGACUAUGAUCUUAAGAAUAGUCUUAUUUCAGAAGGGACUAAUUUUACCGAAGGGACUAUGUUCUUAAGACCAUUCUCAAUUCCGAAGGGACAUUUUAAACCAAAGAGACUAUGAUCUUAAGAACACUCUUUAAAUCCGAAGGGACAUAAAAAGAGGGAGAAUAAAAGAAUAGUUCGUCAACACAAGCUAAAGGAGGGAGAAGAGAGAAAAAUUCUUUGACAACUCAAGAGAAC